UUUGAAGCAGCAGGACAAGCCUUCACUCAUAUGCUUACUGUAAAAAGAUUGAAGCUGCUCUUCUGUUGUAAAGUCGUGGUAUUGUUUGCCUUUGUCUUGGUUCCUUUGUAGCUCUUUUAUUCCUUUCACUCACUUCUUCACUUUUGUGUCAUUGGCCUACCUGUUUCUGCCCUGCUGACGAUCAGCAUUUGGGCACGGAAUGCUAAGCAAUCCAUGGGUGUUAGAUGCGGGUGACCAGACGUCCCCGAUUUCCGGGGACAGUCCCCGUUUUCGGUGAUCUGUCCCCGGUCAAAGCUGUCCCCGGAAAUGUCCCCGAUUUUGACACUGAAUGGGGGGAAAAUGCGCGCAGACUCAAAUACCAGUUAUUACGGUAGUCAUUUAACGCAUCACCAGAGAAGACGUCGUAUGACGUAAAGACGUUAUCAGGACGUACGACCAGACGCAGAAGCGUCAACAACAACAAUCUAGAGGCGGCAAAAAGGAAAAAGAGAAGAUCAGCGGUCAUAAAUGGCUCCUGAGGCGGAGGUGGAUGAAUGAGGGGAUCACGGGGCGCCACCAGGGAUGUUUGGCCCCAUGAAAAGAUAUCACACUGGGUCCCACGUUCACACACAGGCAACGCCAACCAUGUGCAGUUUCUGUAACCACACCUCUACCUGUGAAGGCUUCAAUUAUCUUAUAGUCCGAUACUAACUUUACAAUAUCUACUGACACUGAGCUGUGAUAAUAUAACACUGUGAAGACAUGCAGGAAACAUUCUGCAUACUGAUUAAGUGUUUGUUCAAUUAUAAAUUUGAUUUUCUAUUAAAAUCCAUUAAUGAUGUUUUUUUAUUAGCAUAACUAAUGUUCUAAUAUUUUUUCAGGGCCCCUGUCAGUCACAGGCCCUCAGAAUUGUCCUUACUUUUCGCCUCCUAAUGGCGCUUCUGACCUUUUGUGUAAUAAAAGCUGGUUAAAAUACAUGAAAAAGUACUUGUCCCCAUUUUUUAUUUCAUAAUGAUAAUAUGUAAGGAUUUUUCACCGCCGCAUUGAAAAUGGCCCCGAUUUUCAUUUCAGAAA